CACGUCAGAUAACCUGCGCUUCCACUCUUUGUCUCUUGCCUUCCGCUUUGCAUACUCUCAGCUGAAAACUCAAAAGUUUUUUGCCUAUUUCUCUCAGGUACAUGUACAUAGUUUUAAUGUUCAUUUUCAAUUUGGUUUUUGCUUUCAAUAAUUCGCUUUCCCAGUUGUUUUAUUCAACUUAUGCCAUUGAGUCAUCAUAAUUCUAUGAAAAUCUAAGAACUUUCAUCUCUUUUUUUUUCAUUUGGGUGGUGUAAACUUUUCUUUUGUGGGUACUUAAGAUUCAUUUCCUGUAUAUAGUUUUUGAAUAUUUCCACUUUCCCAUGUGAUUACAAUAGUUAUCCCUCUGUUCUGUUUAAUGGGUUUUUCUUUCUUACGUUUUUCUUGCGAACUAUUUGGUGCUUUUUGUGGAAAAGUAGCAAAAUUUGGAUUGAUUUGAUCAAACAAAAUAUGGGUUCUUUGUAAUUCAGUUUAAAUGUCAGGAGGGUAUGUGUCCAGCUUUCAGUUGAUUUAUUUUUCCAUAUUCUUAUUUCUAGGAGCUAAAUUUGAGAUCUUUUAUAGAAGUGAGUUCAUGAGUCUUCAUAUGAUAUGUUAAUCCCCUCUGCUUGAAAUGAAAAGAAACCAAUAAAUUGACAAUUGGAGAUUAAAUAAAAAGAUUUUAAUAGUGCAGUAUUUGAAGCCAAACUCUAUGCUAGCUAUACCAAUUAGUAAAAUUUGUUAUGGUUGUUCUAAUGUGCGGAAUGAAUUGUGUUUUGGUUGUAAAUAGGCAGGUAGUUAGGUGGUUAGUUGCUAAGGAGUAGUUAGAGUAACUAACUAACUGAUUCUUGUACGUAGUUAGUGCUCGAGUUGUUUAGAUAAAAGGAGGAUUUGAUUUGUAAAGGAAUCGUAACAGAAUUUUCUCUCUAUCUUGGAGGCCUGGCUGCUAGCUCCCUUUAAGAAGCCAUUUUCUUAAUCACAUAAGCAAAGAUAAGAACAAGGUUCUUAUCAGCGGUUUUAAUUAUGAUAUUUCAUUACUAAUCUGAAAGGUCAGUUUGUUGAGUAGAGUAGGUACAGCAUUAAUCAAUCUCUAUUCUAGCUUUACAUGCUACUGCCCGUCUGCUACACAUGAUGUCAAUUUAUUCAAUGCAUACAUCGAUGCAGAGGGCACAUUUAGGCCGGCCACAGAGACUUUUACAGAUAGCAGAAAGGUGUCAUACAGCUACCUUAAAUUGAAUAUGCUUCUCUGCAGUGUGAGUUAUUUAUAGCCACAGCCAAUGGUUUUGAAUGCCGCAGGUUUGGACUGGAUGGUCCUGAUGUCUUGGAUAAUGUGGCUUAUGCAUGCUAGAGCUUAUAACACUGAUCAUCAGUCAAGACUUCUGCUUGAAGCAGCUUCAAUGAUGGUGUAAACAAGGCAAAGGGCUGUCUUCAUCGGUGGGACUUUGAGACACAGGAGGAAUGGGCAACUUACAAUGAGCAGAAAGAAGCAAUGCCAAAAGCUGCAUUUCAGUUUGGUGUGAAGAUGCAAGAUGGUCGAAACACACAGAAACAAAACAGGGACCAGAAGCUCAAUAAUGAGCUGCACCAGAUUAACAAGAUACUUACCAGAAAGAGAUGAAUUUUGGUGAGGGUGCCAACCAUUAUCAACCUGGAAGGAAAGAAGCUUCGAAUAUGAAAUUUGAUAGUUGUUCUAGUGUUUAAGAGAAGUUUUCUUUUGUAAUCUGAAAUUGGUGAUACUCUUAAUUUAAUUUAAUUUUUUAAUACAAAUACAAUGGGCUUUUAUA